GCUUAACACAUGCAAGUCGAGGGGUAACAGGUCCCUUUCGGGAUGCUGACGACCGGCGCACGGGUGAGUUACGCGUAUGCAACCUGCCCAUAGCUGGAGGAUAGCCCGGAGAAAUCCGGAUUAAUACUCCAUAAUAUUUCGAAACCGCAUGAUUUUGAAAUUAAAGUUUCGGCGGCUAUGGAUGGGCAUGCGUGCCAUUAGCUUGUUGGUAAGGUAACGGCUUACCAAGGCUACGAUGGCUAGGGGUUCUGAGAGGAUGAUCCCCCACACUGGUACUGAGACACGGACCAGACUCCUACGGGAGGCAGCAGUGAGGAAUAUUGGUCAAUGGGCGCAAGCCUGAACCAGCCAUGCCGCGUGCAGGAUGAAUGCCCUAUGGGUUGUAAACUGCUUUUGUACAAGAAGAAUCUUUCCGACGUGUCGGGAAUUGACGGUAUUGUACGAAUAAGCAUCGGCUAACUCCGUGCCAGCAGCCGCGGUAAUACGGAGGAUGCAAGCGUUAUCCGGAUUCACUGGGUUUAAUGGGUGCGUAGGCGGGAUAGUAAGUCGAUGGUGAAAGCCUGCAGCUUAACUGUAGAAUUGCCAUUGAUACUGCUAUUCUUGAGUGCAGUUGAAGUAAGCGGAAUGUGUAAUGUAGCGGUGAAAUGCAUAGAUAUCACACAGAACACCAAUUGUGAAAACAGCUUACUAACCUGUAACUGACGCUGAGGCACGAAAGCGUGGGGAGCGAACAGGAUUAGAUACCCUGGUAGUCCACGCUGUAAACUAUGAUCACUCGCUGUUGGCGAUACACAGUCAGCGGCUAAGCGAAAGCAUUAAGUGAUCCACCUGGGGAGUACGUCCGCAAGGAUGAAACUCAAAGGAAUUGACGGGGGCCCGCACAAGCGGAGGAACAUGUGGUUUAAUUCGAUGAUACGCGAGGAACCUUACCUGGGCUUAAAUGCAGCUCGACGGACCGGGAAACUGGUCUUCCUUCGGGCGAACUGCAAGGUGCUGCAUGGUUGUCGUCAACUCGUGCCGUGAGGUGUCGGGUUAAGUCCCAUAACGAGCGCAACCCCUAUUGUUAGUUACCAGCGAGUAAUGUCGGGGACUCUAACGAAACUGCCGGUGUAAACCGAGAGGAAGGUGGGGAUGACGUCAAAUCAGCACAGCCCUUAUGUCCAGGGCUACACACGUGUUACAAUGGCCAGUACAAAGGGCAGCUACCACGCGAGUGGAUGCUAAUCUCGAAAGCUGGUCUCAGUUCGGAUUGAAGUCUACAACUCGACUUCAUGAAGGUGGAUUCGCUAGUAAUCGCGCAUCAGCAAUGGCGCGGUGAAUACGUUCCCGGGCAUUGUACACACCGCCCGUCAAGCCAUGGGAGUCGGGGGUACCUGAAGUCCGUAACCGAAAGGAGCGGCACUAGGGUAAAACCGGCGACUGGGGCUAAGU
rnacentral:rRNA from 1 species